UGUCCUGUGGUGUAAUGGUAGCACACCAGAUUCUGGUUCUGCUUGUGAGGGUUCGAAUCCUUCCAGGACAAC
rnacentral:tRNA from 1 species